rnacentral:rRNA from 1 species
GACGAACGCUGGCGGCGUGCUUAACACAUGCAAGUCGAACGAUGAAGUUCCUUCGGGAAUGGAUUAGUGGCGAACGGGUGAGAGACACGUGAGAAACCUGCCUUUCAUUUUGGGAUAACUCCGGGAAACCGGAGCUAACACCGAAUACUCCGUCUCGGCGGCAUCGCUGAGCCGGGAAAAAAUUUUGAUGAAAGAUGGUCUCGCGGCCUAUCAGCUAGUUGAUGAGGUAAUGGCUCACCAAGGCGACGACGGGUAGCCGGCCUGAGAGGGCGACCGGCCACACUGGGACUGAGACACGGCUCAGACUCCUACGGGAGGCAGCAGUGGGGAAUAUUGGGCAAUGGGCGCAAGCCUGACCCAGCGACGCCGCGUGAGGGAUGAAGGCCUUCGGGUUGUAAACCUCUUUCAGUAGGGAAGAAGCGAAAGUGACGGUACCUAAAGAAGAAGCACCGGCUAACUAUGUGCCAGCAGCCGCGGUAA